UACGUAGGGUGCAGGCGUUAAUCGGAAUUACUGGGCGUAAAGCGUGCGCAGGCGGUGAUGUAAGACAGUUGUGAAAUCCCCGGGCUCAACCUGGGAACUGCAUCUGUGACUGCAUCGCUGGAGUGCGGCAGAGGGGGAUGGAAUUCCGCGUGUAGCAGUGAAAUGCGUAGAUAUGCGGAGGAACACCGAUGGCGAAGGCAAUCCCCUGGGCCUGCACUGACGCUCAUGCACGAAAGCGUGGGGAGCAAACAGG
rnacentral:rRNA from 1 species